rnacentral:tRNA from 1 species
UGGGAUGUGGCUCAGUGGUAGAGCGCUCGCCUUGCACAUUCGAGACCCUGGGUUCGAUCCUCAGCACCACAU